UACGGAGGGGGCUAGCGUUGUUCGGAAUUACUGGGCGUAAAGCGUGCGUAGGCGGCUGUUUAAGUCUGGUGUUAAAGCUAGGGGCUCAACCCCUGUGGUGCAUCGGAUACUGGGCAGCUUGAGUGCGGUAGGGGAAGGUGGAAUUCCGAGUGUAGCGGUGAAAUGCGUAGAUAUUCGGAAGAACACCGGUGGCGAAGGCGACCUUCUGGGCCGCAACUGACGCUGAGGCACGAAAGCCUGGGGAGCGAACGGG
rnacentral:rRNA from 1 species